CCUACGGGAGGCAGCAGUGGGGAAUUUUGGACAAUGGGCGCAAGCCUGAUCCAGCCAUGCCGCGUGUCUGAAGAAGGCCUUCGGGUUGUAAAGGACUUUUGUCAGGGAAGAAAAGGCUGUUGCUAAUACCGACAGCUUAUGACGGUACCUGAAGAAUAAGCACCGGCUAACUACGUGCCAGCAGCCGCGGUAAUACGGAGGAUGCGAGCGUUAUCCGGAAUCAUUGGGUUUAAAGGGUCCGUAGGCGGGCUGAUAAGUCAGAGGUGAAAGCGCUUAGCUCAACUAAGCAACUGCCUUUGAAACUGUCAGUCUUGAAUGAUUGUGAAGUAGUUGGAAUGUGUAGUGUAGCGGUGAAAUGCUUAGAUAUUACACAGAACACCGAUAGCGAAGGCAUAUUACUAACAAUUGAUUGACGCUGAUGGACGAAAGCGUGGGGAGCGAACAGGAUUAGAUACCCUGGUAGUCCACGCUGUAAACGAUGGAUACUAGCUGUUUGGAGCAAUCUGAGUGGCUAAGCGAAAGUGAUAAGUAUCCCACCUGGGGAGUACGUACGCAAGUGUGAAACUCAAAGGAAUUGACGG
rnacentral:rRNA from 1 species